rnacentral:rRNA from 1 species
GAGAUCAAAGAAGUUCGCGCGGGCGACAUCGCGGCUGCUAUCGGCCUGAAAGACGUGACUACCGGUGACACCCUGUGUGAUCCGGAAAACCCGAUCAUUCUGGAACGUAUGGAAUUCCCUGAGCCGGUAAUCUCCAUCGCGGUAGAACCGAAAACCAAAGCUGACCAGGAAAAAAUGGGUCUGGCUCUGGGCCGUCUGGCGAAAGAAGACCCGUCGUUCCGCGUAUGGACUGAUGAAGAAUCUAACCAGACCAUCAUCGCUGGUAUGGGUGAACUUCACCUAGAUAUCAUCGUUGACCGUAUGAAGCGUGAAUUCAACGUUGAAGCGAACGUGGGUAAACCUCAGGUUGCUUACCGCGAAGCGAUUCGCGCGAAAGUUACCGACAUCGAAGGUAAACACGCGAAACAGUCUGGUGGUCGCGGUCAGUAUGGUCAUGUUGUUAUCGACAUGUACCCGCUGGAGCCGGGCUCUAACCCGAAAGGUUACGAGUUCAUCAACGACAUCAAAGGUGGUGUAAUUCCUGGCGAGUACAUCCCGGCCGUUGAUAAAGGCAUCCAGGAGCAGCUGAAAUCUGGCCCGCUGGCGGGUUAUCCGGUAGUUGAUCUCGGUGUGCGUCUGCACUUCGGUUCUUACCAUGACGUUGACUCCUCUGAGCUGGCGUUUAAACUGGCUGCGUCUAUCGCCUUUAAAGAAGGCUUUAAGAAAGCAAAACCAGUUCUGCUUGAGCCGAUCAUGAAGGUUGAAGUAGAAACACCUGAAGAGAAUACCGGUGACGUUAUCGGCGACCUUAGCCGCCGUCGUGGUAUGCUCAAAGGUCAGGAAUCUGAAGUUACAGGCGUUAAGAUCCACGCUGAAGUACCGCUGUCUGAAAUGUUCGGAUAUGCAACUCAGCUGCGUUCUCUGACCAAAGGUCGCGCAUCGUACACUAUGGAAUUCCUGAAGUAUGAUGAUGCGCCGAACAACGUUGCUCAGGCCGUAAUCGAAGCCCGUGGUAAAUAAGCCGCAGGGUUAAAAACCAAAAUCCCGUGCUCUCUCCUGAAGGGGAGAGCGCUAUAGUAAGGAAUAUAGCCGUGUCUAAAGAAAAAUUUGAACGUACAAAACCGCACGUUAACGUCGGCACCAUCGGCCACGUUGACCACGGUAAAACUACCCUGACCGCUGCAAUCACCACCGUACUGGCUAAAACCUACGGCGGUGCUGCUCGUGCAUUCGACCAGAUCGAUAACGCUCCGGAAGAAAAAGCGCGUGGUAUCACCAUCAACACUUCUCACGUUNACUGAGGCGUGACGACGAGGCACUACGGUGCUGAAGCAACAAAUGCCCUGCUUCCAGGAAAAGCCUCUAAGCAUCAGGUAACAUCAAAUCGUACCCCAAACCGACACAGGUGGUCAGGUAGAGAAUACCAAGGCGCUUGAGAGAACUCGGGUGAAGGAACUAGGCAAAAUGGUGCCGUAACUUCGGGAGAAGGCACGCUGACACGUAGGUGAAGUGAUUUACUCACGGAGCUGAAGUCAGCCGAAGAUACCAGCUGGCUGCAACUGUUUAUUAAAAACACAGCACUGUGCAAACACGAAAGUGGACGUAUACGGUGUGACGCCUGCCCGGUGCCGGAAGGUUAAUUGAUGGGGUCAGCGCAAGCGAAGCUCCUGAUCGAAGCCCCGGUAAACGGCGGCCGUAACUAUAACGGUCCUAAGGUAGCGAAAUUCCUUGUCGGGUAAGUUCCGACCUGCACGAAUGGCGUAAUGAUGGCCAGGCUGUCUCCACCCGAGACUCAGUGAAAUUGAACUCGCUGUGAAGAUGCAGUGUACCCGCGGCAAGACGGAAAGACCCCGUGAACCUUUACUAUAGCUUGACACUGAACAUUGAGCCUUGAUGUGUAGGAUAGGUGGGAGGCUUUGAAGUGUGGACGCCAGUCUGCAUGGAGCCGACCUUGAAAUACCACCCUUUAAUGUUUGAUGUUCUAACGUGGACCCGUGAUCCGGGUUGCGGACAGUGUCUGGUGGGUAGUUUGACUGGGGCGGUCUCCUCCUAAAGAGUAACGGAGGAGCACGAAGGUUGGCUAAUCCUGGUCGGACAUCAGGAGGUUAGUGCAAUGGCAUAAGCCAGCUUGACUGCGAGCGUGACGGCGCGAGCAGGUGCGAAAGCAGGUCAUAGUGAUCCGGUGGUUCUGAAUGGAAGGGCCAUCGCUCAACGGAUAAAAGGUACUCCGGGGAUAACAGGCUGAUACCGCCCAAGAGUUCAUAUCGACGGCGGUGUUUGGCACCUCGAUGUCGGCUCAUCACAUCCUGGGGCUGAAGUAGGUCCCAAGGGUAUGGCUGUUCGCCAUUUAAAGUGGUACGCGAGCUGGGUUUAGAACGUCGUGAGACAGUUCGGUCCCUAUCUGCCGUGGGCGCUGGAGAACUGAGGGGGGCUGCUCCUAGUACGAGAGGACCGGAGUGGACGCAUCACUGGUGUUCGGGUUGUCAUGCCAAUGGCACUGCCCGGUAGCUAAAUGCGGAAGAGAUAAGUGCUGAAAGCAUCUAAGCACGAAACUUGCCCCGAGAUGAGUUCUCCCUGAGACUUUAGGUCUCCUGAAGGAACGUUGAAGACGACGACGUUGAUAGGCCGGGUGUGUAAGCGCAGCGAUGCGUUGAGCUAACCGGUACUAAUGAACCGUGAGGCUUAACCUU